AGACAGACAGGUAGAUACAGACAGACAGACAGACAGGUAGAUACAGACAGACAGGUAGAUACAGACAGACAGACAGACAGACAGACAGGUAGAUACAGAC